rnacentral:lncRNA from 1 species
AUGAUGCAGGGCAUUUAGAUUUAUACAAGGCAGUCAUGAAACUAAAUUAUAAUAAUGACAUUAGUUACCCAACUGACGAAAGGAACUGGAAUGAAAGUAGCAGCAGCUCACAAUAGAGUCACUCAAAGCUAGUGGAUGAAAGCUCUCUAAUAGCAUACAAAACUGCUUUAAGUUAAAUAAUGUGGCAAGAAUCUUAUUAUAUCCACACCUGAUGGUCGUACGUGCAUAUAUGGACAGUCAGCUUGGAGUAUCAUUACCCAC